rnacentral:rRNA from 1 species
ACUCCUACGGGAGGCAGCAGUGGGGAAUCUUGCGCAAUGGGCGAAAGCCUGACGCAGCCAUGCCGCGUGAAUGAUGAAGGUCUUAGGAUUGUAAAAUUCUUUCAGCAGGGACGAUAAUGACGGUACCUGCAGAAGAAGCCCCGGCUAACUUCGUGCCAGCAGCCGCGGUAAUACGAAGGGGGCUAGCGUUGCUCGGAAUUACUGGGCGUAAAGGGCGCGUAGGCGGUGCGGUAAGUCACUUGUGAAAUCUCUGGGCUCAACUCAGAGUCUGCAAGCGAAACUGCCGUGCUUGAGUGUCGGAGAGGUAAGUGGAAUUCCCGGUGUAGCGGUGAAAUUCGUAGAUAUUCGGAAGAACACCAGUGGCGAAGGCGACACACUGGGCCAUUACUGACGCUGAGGCGCGAAAGCGUGGGGAGCAAACAGGAUUAGAUACCCUGGUAGUCCACGCUGUAAACGAUGAGUGCUAGUUGUCGGCAUGCAUGCAUGUCGGUGACGCAGCUAACGCAUUAAGCACUCCGCCUGGGGAGUACGGUCGCAAGAUUAAAACUCAAAGGAAUUGACG